rnacentral:rRNA from 1 species
UGGGAAUUUUGGACAAUGGGCGCAGCCUGAUCCAGCCAUGCCGCGUGCGGGAAGAAGGCCUUCGGGUUGUAAACCGCUUUUGUCAGGGAAGAAAAUCUUCUGAGUUAAUACCUCGGGAGGAUGACGGUACCUGAAGAAUAAGCACCGGCUAACUACGUGCCAGCAGCCGCGGUAAUACGUAGGGUGCAAGCGUUAAUCGGAAUUACUGGGCGUAAAGCGUGCGCAGGCGGUUUUGUAAGACAGAGGUGAAAUCCCCGGGCUCAACCUGGGAACUGCCUUUGUGACUGCAAGGCUUGAGUGCGGCAGAGGGGGGAUGGAAUUCCGCGUGUAGCGUGAAAUNCGCGUAGAUAUGCGGAGGAACACCGAUGGCGAAGGCAAAUCCCCCUGGGGCCUGCACUGACGCUCAUGGACNACGAAAGCGUGGGGAGCAAAACAGGAUUAGAUACCCCUGGUA